rnacentral:rRNA from 1 species
GACGAACGCUGGCGGCGUGCCUAAUACAUGCAAGUCGAGCGGGCCUCCGGAGGUGCUUGCACCUCCGGAAGGCCAGCGGCGGACGGGUGAGUAACACGUGGGCAACCUGCCUUUGAGGCCGGGAUAACACCGGGAAACCGGUGCUAAUACCGGAUACGUCCUCUUUCGCGCCUGCGAGAGGGGAGAAAGACGGUCUUUAAGGCCGUCGCUCAAAGAGGGGCCCGCGGCGCAUUAGCUGGUUGGUGGGGUGAGGGCCUACCAAGGCGACGAUGCGUUGCCGACCUGAGAGGGGGAUCGGCCACACGGGGACUGAGACACGGCCCAGACUCCUGCGGGAGGCAGCAGUAGGGAAUCAUCCGCAAUGGGCGAAAGCCUGACGGUGCAACGCCGCGUGAGUGAGGAAGGUUUUCGGAUCGUAAAGCUCUGUUGUGAGGGAAGAACAGCUUCCGGAGGAAAUGCCGGAGGUUUGCCGGUACCUCACCAGAAAGCCCCGGCUAACUACGUGCCAGCCGCCGCGGUAAAAC